CUCGGGAGGCUGAGGCAGGAGAAUCGCUUGAACCUGGGUGGCGGAGGUUGCAGUGAGCCAAGAUUGCAUCACUGCACUCCAGCCUGGGCAACAGAGCAAGACUCCAUCUCAAAAAAAAAAAAAAAAGGAAGGCAUUUCUGACACAUGCUACAACAUGGCUGAUCCUUGAGGACAUUAUACUGAGUAAAAUAAGCCAGACAUUAAAGGACAAAUACUGUAUGAUUCCACUUCUACGAUGUAGCUAUGGUCAUCAAAUUCGUAGAAACAGAAAUUAGAAUGGUGGCUUCCAGGGACUGGGGGAAGGGAAUGGGGAGUUGUUUAAUGGGUGUUGAGUUUCAGUUUGGGAUGACAAGAAAGUUCUGGAGUUGGAUGGUGGUGAUGGUUAUACAACAGUGUGAAUGUACUUAAUGACACUUAGCUGUAUACUUUAAAAAAAAAAGGUUAAAAUGGGCCAGGCGCAGUAGCUCAUGCCUGUAAUCCCAGCACUUUGGGAGGCCAAGGCAGGCGGAUCACCUGAGGUCAGGAGUUUGAGACCAGCCUGGCCAACGUGGUGAAAACCUGUCUCUACUAAAAAUACAAAAAUUAGCCGGGCAUGGUGGUGGGUGCCUGCAACCCCAGCCAUACGGGAGGCUGAGGCAGGAGAAUCGCUUGAACCCAGGAGUAGGGGUUUGCAGUGAGCUGAGAUGGUGCCAUUGCACUCUAGCCUAGGUAACAAGAGUGAGACUCCAUCUCAAAGAAAAAAAAAAAAGUUCCAUGUUAGGUGUAUUUUACUACAAUUAAAAAAAAAAAAGCCUCUGGGGACCUCCAAAUCCCUCCCCGUGGAAGGGGCCCCUGGCCCUUCCCUUCC
rnacentral:lncRNA from 10 species